rnacentral:rRNA from 1 species
AACAGGAUUAGAUACCCUGGUAGUCCACGCCGUAAACGAUGAUUACUAGCUGUUUGCGAUAAGACAGUAAGCGGCUAAGCGAAAGCGAUAAGUAAUCCACCUGGGGAGUACGCCGGCAACGGUGAAACUCAAAGGAAUUGACGGGGGCCCGCACAAGCGGAGGAACAUGUGGUUUAAUUCGAUGAUACGCGAGGAACCUUACCCGGGCUUGAAAUGCAUCUGACGGUUUGGGAAACCAGACUUCUAGCAAUAGCAGAUGUGUAGGUGCUGCAUGGUUGUCGUCAGCUCGUGCCGUGAGGUGUCGGCUUAAGUGCCAUAACGAGCGCAACCCACAUUGUUAGUUACUAACAGGUCAAGCUGAGGACUCUGACAAGACUGCCAGCGUAAGCUGCGAGGAAGGUGUGGAUGACGUCAAAUCAGCACGGCCCUUACGUCCGGGGCGACACACGAGUUACAAUGGGAGGUACAAAGGGCUGCUACCAGGUGACUGGAUGCCAAUCCCCAAAACCUCUCCCAGUUCGGAUCGGAGUCUGCAACCCGACUCCGUGAAGCUGGAUUCGCUAGUAAUCGCGCAUCAGCCAUGGCGCGGUGAAUACGUUCCCGGGCCUUGUACACACCGCCCGUCAAGCCAUGGGAGCCGGGGGUGCCUGAAGUACGUAACCGCUAAGGAGCGUCCUAGGGCAAAACUGGUGACUGGGGCUAAGUCGUAACAAGGUAACC